AUGAAAAUCAUCGGCUGGAACUGCCAGGGUUUGGGCAAUGGCCCGGCAGUUCGAAGCCUCCUCGAGAUGGGGAGGGUGGAGGAGCCCGGCGUUCUCUUUCUGGCUGAAACAAAGUUGACAGUGGAGGAGUUGGAGAGGUUUCGGUGGAUGUUAGGCAUGGCACAUAUGACAGCAUGGAGCUCGGAGGGGAGGAGUAGGGGGUGGCGCUGUUUUCGAGGCGUGAGGUGGAUGUGUCGUUGA
rnacentral:rRNA from 1 species